rnacentral:misc_RNA from 1 species
GAUGAAGAACGUAGUGAAAUGCGAUAAGUAGUGUGAAUUGCAGAUUUCAGUGAAUCAUCGAAUCUUUGAACGCACAUUGCGCCCUUUGGUAUUCCUUAGGGCAUGCCUGUUCGAGCGUCAUUUAAACCUUCAAGCUCAGCUUGGUGAUGGGUGACUGUCCGCUGCCUCCCCCCGGGGUGCGCCGCGGACUCGCCUCAAAACGAUUGGCGGCCGGUACAUUGGCUCUCGAGCGCAGCAGAAACGCGUAACUCGAGGUCCUCGUGCUGGCUCCCAGAAGCUAUCUUCACAAUUUUGACCUCGGAUCAGGUAGGGAUACCCGCUGAACUUAAGCAUAUCAAUAAGCGGAGGA